rnacentral:rRNA from 1 species
UACGAAGGGGGCAAGCGUUGUUCGGAAUUACUGGGCGUAAAGGGCGCGCAGGCGGCCCUUGAAGUCAGGUGUGAAAGCCCCGGGCUCAACCUGGGAAUUGCACUUGAUACUCGAGGGCUUGAGUUCGGGAGAGGAGAGUGGAAUUCCCAGUGUAGAGGUGAAAUUCGUAGAUAUUGGGAAGAACACCGGGUGGCGAAGGCGGCUCUCGUGGACCGAGACUGACGCUGAGGCGGCGAAAAGCGUGGGGAGCAAACAGGGAUUAAGAAACC